rnacentral:rRNA from 1 species
GACGAACGCUGGCGGCGUGCUUAACACAUGCAAGUCGAACGGAAAGGCCCUGCUUUUGUGGGGUGCUCGAGUGGCGAACGGGUGAGUAACACGUGAGUAACCUGCCCUUGACUUUGGGAUAACUUCAGGAAACUGGGGCUAAUACCGGAUAGGAGCUCCUGCUGCAUGGGGGGGGUUGGAAAGUUUCGGCGGUUGGGGAUGGACUCGCGGCUUAUCAGCUUGUUGGUGGGGUAGUGGCUUACCAAGGCUUUGACGGGUAGCCGGCCUGAGAGGGUGACCGGCCACAUUGGGACUGAGGGACGGCCCAGACUCCUACGGGAGGCAGCAGUGGGGAAUAUUGCACAAUGGGCGGAAGCCUGAUGCAGCAACGCCGCGUGCGGGAUGACGGCCUUCGGGUUGUAAACCGCUUUCGCCUGUGACGAAGCGUGAGUGACGGUAAUGGGUAAAGAAGCACCGGCUAACUACGUG